AUGCCCGGCGCUGGGUCACCGUGCGCGUCCUCGGCAGGGAUCGUCCCUGCCAGGGGAUGGACGCACUGUCGGCUUCGGGUGAAGCCGCCUCUGCUGCAAGCUCCUUUCACACCUGUCCGUGCAGCAGGAGAGGGAACAAGCUGCGGGCACAGCAACCUGAAAGGGUGGGGAGAAGGCAAAGGAGGCCUGGAAACCCCCAGUUCUCGGCUUGGGGCAAAGAAGGUGGAAGGACCGGGGGGCAGGGAAGGUGGGGGUCCCGGGUGGGCCCGAGAGGAGGUAGGGGACACAGGGGCAGAGGGACAAGUGCCUGGACACACUGGAUCCUGGGCUGAGGCUGGGGGACAUGGGCGGAAGUGCCCUGUGCAGGCAGAGACCAGCAGGCCCGGUGGCUUUCUGGAGGAGGGUCUUCACUUUGGGCAGGGAGAAGGUUUGGAGGAGUCAGAGGAGGGUUCUGGGGGGCAGGGAGCAGGCUGUGCGAGUGGGGCCUCUCGUCAGGGCAUGGGAAGGCGUGAACAUCUGUGGCCCACCGCUCAGGCUGUGUGCAGAGCAGGCAAGUGUCAGGAAGGCAGUCCUCCCCAGCCAGCACUCACUACAGCAGCCACUCGCCUCAGCCGUUUUGCUCAGAUCAGGAAUGGGUCCACACCCAGGGAUGAGGUGCACUUGUUCCAAGCCAGCUUGAUGGGUUUCUUGACAGACUGUCUCCUGGCCAGGAGUGGCCUGAGACUCAUGCUGAGCUGACGACACCUGCUUUCCCGAGAAGAAGGGCCUGCGCAGCUAGCAUGACACCUUGAAUGUGGACUUGAUGGCUGGACCUGCUGCAGCCAUCCUGCAACCAUGAGGCAAAGACCUGGCCCUGACACCCACCCCUGAGCCGCUGAACCAAGCUAGGUGCCAGGUCCUCCCUACUUCUUGUGAGGUGAGGAAGAAGACCUUCUGUGUCAAGCCACAGCAGUUGGAGGCUUUUCUUUUCCUCCUUCCCCUGAAGGUAUUUCUGAAUAGUAUGUAAACACGCAUUAAAAGUCAUGGUCAAAUAAAGCUAGUAUAGCAGCCGGUGCCCAGCCCGGGUUUGUCCUAGCACCUGGGACCCUGUGAUACACCUGUGCUAGUUCCAGCUUGCUUGCUUAGUUUCUUUUAAACUGCAAAAGUAAUCCAGCUUGAAAAACUUUCAAACCGUAAAACAUUGUCUAAAGUGAACAUUAAAAAUUACACCCAGGAGCGUGCACGCCUUUAUGCGCACGUGUCUCCUGCCAAGGCCUCCAGCCGUGCUGUUCACCAGCCUCCGGCAGCCCGCCCCCCCGGCCCUNNNNNNNNNNNCUCGCUGGGGCCCCCGGGCCUGCCGUGCCCCGAGAGUGGGGAGCCCGGGGCCCUGAGGAUUGGCCGCUUCCCAGACGGUCCUUCUCAGGAGCUGCCAGAGCAGAGUGUCCAGUUGCCCCGGGCUGGGGCACUCAGCCGCGCCUUCUUCCUACAGGCCCUGCGGGGUCAGGCCGAGGCCAGCCUCUCCACGGACGCCUCCUGGCCCACCGGCCUCACACUCCUGUCCUGUGUCGGUCCCAGAGCCAGCAGCCCACUCCAGGACCCCAGACCGUCCUCUGAACAGACGCACUCAGGCCCGCCCCACCACCCACGGUUCCCCUGCCGCC
rnacentral:lncRNA from 1 species